AUCAAAAUCUGGUCUGGCUGUUCUUCUUCCUCUUUCACUGCUACUUGCUUUGCUGCUUGAUCAGCUAGGGCUUUUCCUCUGACUUCAGGGGUGUCAGCUCGAGUGUGCCUGUAGAUCAAUAAAAUCUUCAGAUUCUCCAGUAUACUCCCCCCUUGGAAGAGGGAGAAGAGCAGCAGGAUUGAGGAUGUGACAUCUUUGAAUAGUGACAUUAUCAGGUAGGAGCAGGCUACCUUGCAACCAUAGGUGACGUUGAUUAGUCAGAUGCCUAGGUUGUGUUUGUUGGAGAAUGGCAGAAAUGUCAUGUGGUGCUAGGAUAGUGAGG